GAUGAAGAACGUAGCGAAAUGCGAUACUUGGUGUGAAUUGCAGAAUCCCGUGAACCAUCGAGUCUUUGAACGCAAGUUGCGCCCGAAGCCAUCAGGUUGAGGGCACGUCUGCCUGGGCGUCACAUAUCGUUGCCCAAUGCCUAUUGCAGUGCAAUAGGAAUUUCUAGGGCGAAUGAUGGCUUCCCGUGAGCGUUGUUGCCUCGCGGUUGGUUGAAAAUUGAGUCCUUGGUAGGGUGUGCCAUGGUAGAUGAUGGUCGAGUUAGAACGAUACCGAUCAUGUGCAUGCUCCCCAAAAUAUGGCCUCUAUGACCCACACGCGUCUUUUGACGCUCAUGACGAGACCUCAGGUCAGGCGGGGCUACCCGCUGAAUUUAAGCAUAUCAAUAAGCGGAGGA
rnacentral:misc_RNA from 1 species